UAAUCCGAUUGUACAAUAAUUACCAACCGGUGUUCAUAAAUGUAUAUGUAAAUGUGUAUAAACUCGAUUUGUGUAUUGCAAGUAAAAUGAGAGAGAGUUGAGUAAAUGUAGUUCUUUGUAUUGAUUCUUGCAUUAGCCCUUUGAUAUUACACAAGGGAAGUAUUUAUAGUAGUACAUAUGAAAUGGGAGCCCUUGGAUGAAGUGGCACGUGGCCUCAUCUCUUUAGUUCAAACAUCUUUUCCUAGGUAUGGGUUUUGACUUGCUAGCUUGCGGCGCAUUUAUUGCUUGUGCAGGGCCUCCAUGCUAGUGACAAGACUUGACCUUUAUGCUUAUGACAAACGUUCCAUCAAUCAUUCAAAUAAGAUCUGUGCAAGCGAUCUCUUGGGAGAAGUAACCAUGGAGGAUGUUUCCUUGUGGUUCAGAGGCUCGCGCGUCAGCUUCGGGGUUUCAGCCAUUUGUCAUGAUACUUCCACUUGAGGGCCUCAGCUGCUGUCAACAGGUUCCAGCAGUCUGGUUUUGGUUCGUAGGCCUCGGUCAAUGAGCCUCGGACAAAAAGGAGCCUCGGCAGAUGGACUUCGGCUCGAAGCAGUUCGGAUGUAGCCCACCUCGACAUUGUGUGCUACCUCGGCAGGAAUGCCACGUGGAUCGCAAUAAGUGGGCCAUUGUCCCAGGUAUGUUGGUCAGGUGUGACAACGCGCAACAAAUACAACUAAAUGUGAGUCAUUGUGCUGUAGAUUAUAGUUGACAUUGUGCCUGUGGUACUGAAACUAUGCUUCCUAAAAAGGUUUCUUUGUUUGAAGUCUUUCUAUUCAUAUUAAAUGGCAUUCAAGUAUGUUCUAUUUGGACUUUACAAAUUAAAAAUUUCUAAAAUAUAUGCCAAGUUUCAUAGCUAUCAGAUACUUGACCUUUGAUAAUUUUUAAACUAAACUCCCUAGUAAGUUUCCAGUUUCCAAUGGUUUCUUUCCAUAAAUGUGUAUAUUAGCAAUGCUUGGAAAAGAAUUCUGUUAUAUAAUUUGUUAAAUCUUUUCUAAGUUACGCUUUCGGUGAAGGCAAAGUAAUCUACUAUAUGCAACUUAUUG
rnacentral:lncRNA from 1 species